CCUCAACCCAUGACUGUCAUUAUGUAGGGUUGCAGGUCCACAUCCUCCUCACCCAUGGGACAGCGUUGGAGAGGCUCUGCGGGAUGGGAAGGACCCAUGGGCGCUGGAAUUGCCUGCAGCAUCCCCAGAGCUGCCCAGAUACAGGGUGUGCAGGCACAGCUCGACUUACCGCGACUUCUCCUGUGGCAAGAAAAGACUUGUUUGGGUCUUUCCUCCAACCCUUUUGUUGCUUCCCAGGUUUCCGUAUUUCUUUUGCACGUUCAAAAAAAUACCAUUGGGACAGAUAAAUGCCUUCGCUGACAUAGAGUGGUUCAUCCACGGCUGCAGCAAGGUGCAUCCAUCACUCCAAGUCCCGUUAACAACUCUGCUUCAAUGAGCAGCAAUUUUCUGCAGUCACUUCUGACUUCCCCAACUUUUAAGUAGCUCAGGCAGAAAUAUAAAUUUCUUUUUUUUUUUUUUUUUUUCCCCAUGGCAACAAAGCUAAUCCUGUGAAGAGGACUGGGAGGGUCCAUCUUUGCUGAGUCCUGCUGUUAGCCCUGCCAUUGCAGGUGGUGAGGUCCUCUUCCAGAUGGUUGCAGCCUGAAAAACAACCUCUAAGCAAGCACAUUAUAACUCCUUUUAAAGCCUUUUCUGUCCCUGCCCUCACUGGCCCAGCAGACCUUGUCAUUUACCACCACUUUUGCUCCCCCAACCAUCACCGUGUGUGGGUCCGGUCCCACAGCCAUGUCCAUCCAUCCUUGCAUCCUGACCUGGUCCAUGGAAUGAUGUAAAUAGAAAUUGAAGUGAUCGAUGAAGAAAUGCUGAUUCUCAUUAGUUUUUCUGUUGGAGGACAACAAGCUAACACACAGGAGUGAAGUGGGUUUGAUUUUGUAUCUCCUCUUUCAAAUGUGUAGUUAAACAGGGGGGGAAAAAAAAUAUAAUUUUCAGUCUGGCCCAAACACAGUUUCUCUUCAAUAGCUUUGUCUGUGCGCUGUUCAGAAGCCAACAGCUUUUAAAUUCCAUGUUUUCCUGAGGCACACAGCUCCUGCCCAGGGCUGCUCGGUGCCAGCUCAGCCCCCUUCACAGGGGAGCGCAUCCCUUCCAAAGUCAAUACAGCAAAAGAUAGGAAAUAAUGCUUCCUGCCUUAACCUUGUACAAAACUCACAUCUCCAGCCAGGCAAGGUCUCCCAGGCGUGGACACUCACCAGACUGGGACAGCUUAGGGCCACCAGGACCUCAGUGAGUACAAUUAAUCUCUCUGCUGCAGGAAAGCUACCAAAGAGUCCUAUUAGCGCUGAAGCAGCUUUUACUCAGAAGGAUCAAUAACACUUAUUUGCAAGUGUUUAGAGUACAUUAUUUGCAUUUGUGAAGGUAAUGAAAAAACUAUUGAAUUUUAAUUAGCAUUUUCUGGCUCUUCUGGGAGAACGCUGAUUCAAUCCACAGAUACUUUCAGGAUAUUUCAAGACAACAUCGUGGGCAAAAUUCAGAAUAAUUUCUGAUGUUCUGCCAUUACAAAAAACACCUCCAAAGCAUAGAUUUCCAUAAAGUACCCACUGCCACAAGUUAUUACAGAAGCAUAAUAAUGGGUCUAUUGUAUUAUAAAUUGUUUUGUCAUUUUGAAUUUCUGGUAACUGCUGAGAAGAAAAAUUAAAUAAAUAAAAUGACCAAUUUUCUUUUAUGAAACCA
rnacentral:lncRNA from 1 species